CAAGUCGAGCGAAUCAAUAGGAGCUUGCUCCUGUUGGUUAGCGGCGGACGGGUGAGUAACACGUGGGCAACCUGCCUGUAAGACUGGGAUAACACCGGGAAACCGGUGCUAAUACCGGAUAAUUCUUUCUCUCUCAUGAGGGAAAGAUGAAAGUCGGUUUCGGCUGACACUUACAGAUGGGCCCGCGGCGCAUUAGCUAGUUGGUGAGGUAACGGCUCACCAAGGCGACGAUGCGUAGCCGACCUGAGAGGGUGAUCGGCCACACUGGGACUGAGACACGGCCCAGACUCCUACGGGAGGCAGCAGUAGGGAAUCUUCCACAAUGGACGAAAGUCUGAUGGAGCAACGCCGCGUGAGCGAUGAAGGCCUUCGGGUCGUAAAGCUCUGUUGUUAGGGAAGAACAAGUACCGGAGUAACUGCCGGUACCUUGACGGUACCUAACCAGAAAGCCACGGCUAACUACGUGCCAGCAGCCGCGGUAAUACGUAGGUGGCAAGCGUUGUCCGGAAUUAUUGGGCGUAAAGCGCGCGCAGGCGGUCCUUUAAGUCUGAUGUGAAAGCCCACGGCUCAACCGUGGAGGGUCAUUGGAAACUGGGGGACUUGAGUGCAGAAGAGGAAAGCGGAAUUCCACGUGUAGCGGUGAAAUGCGUAGAGAUGUGGAGGAACACCAGUGGCGAAGGCGGCUUUCUGGUCUGUAACUGACGCUGGGGCGCGAAAGCGUGGGGAGCAAACAGGAUUAGAUACCCUGGUAGUCCACGCCGUAAACGAUGAGUGCUAAGUGUUAGAGGGUUUCCGCCCUUUAGUGCUGCAGCUAACGCAUUAAGCACUCCGCCUGGGGAGUACGGCCGCAAGGCUGA
rnacentral:rRNA from 1 species